GAACCAGAAGUCGUAGAGACUUGGGACCUUCACCAAUAAUCUUUAAUUCAUGUGACCUUUAAUAUGCACCCAAGGUCAAAGGUCACAGAGUGCAAAAAAAAAAUUACGCUGCAAUUUCAAGCUUACAUAUUAGGAAAACGAUAAGACUUUGCUGCAUACAUACAGCGUAUAAAAUGUUCCUCUCGACGAGCUCUACAUUUUAUAUAAUAAGCCCAAAAAUGUCCGACCGUCUGUUCAAAAGUUACAACGGGAUGAUUCUUAAAAGUAUAGUAUUUUGUGUAUAUCUUUUUAAAGGUAACAGAUAUCAACCUACUAUAAACUGCAAAGAUGAUCAGUAAUUCAAGACCUUCAAUUUGAGGUCAAUGUCAGGUCAUGAUGAAAUUUCACCUUGACCUUCACAUUAUACUAUGACCUUGACCUUGUGAUAUUUGAAAGGUCAAGUGGUCCUGAGUUGAAUGGUGAUAGUCCCAUGUCUCUACGACUUCCGGUUCUCAAGUUUGGUAUUGCAUCAUAUAUUUGAUGAUUAAUUGUGACCUUGGUGAACUUUGAAAUUGUCCCAAUUCUUUUUCUCUAUAAUGUUGUCCUUUAACUGUAGAUCAUUUACCAUUUAACAGAUUUGAGAUAUCUAUUGUCGUUUUAGAGAUAAUGCAGUUUGAAAUUUUGCGAGCGGCGGCAUGUAUUUCUGAAUCAACAACAGCUUACCACUUAAAAUGUUUAAGAAAUUGAAGAGGUUAACAUAGUUAUAUGUUUGACC
rnacentral:lncRNA from 1 species